AAAUGAGGUGGCUCCUGCUGUUUUUCAACAGGUCUCCCAGUGGGUAUUUGUGUCCCAUGCUGCACUUGGGCUAAUCAUCUUUCAAGUCACUCCACAUCAGAUGAAGUGGAAAGGAGACCCCAGACAGUGUGUACGGGUCAGUCUGGCUGGGGAAGCAAGCAAAGGGAUGAUAUGUCUGAGUGACCAGAUCAGUGAAGUGCCACAGCAAGCCAGAUGGAUGAUUAGGCAAGAUAAUGGGAAAACAAAGGGAAGCAGAUCUGUCUUCAAAGAUACAAAACAACUACAGCCUUGGUACCCUGACACAGGAGCACAUUGACACUUGCUGAUGCCCUUCUAUCAGCCUCACAGCCUGGUGGAGCAGCCCAGCAGUUUUACAGAAAUAUGCUCAUUGCCUAAAAGCACCAGAGAAAAUUGCUAACAAAACACCACAACUGGGUCCGAGAUGAUAUAAGCUGCCCUUUACAAACAGGAAAAAUUCAUCUCUGCAAUUGUCUCUGGUAUAAAAGAUCUCCUUCAGGCCCAAACACUUUCUGUUCACAUGCAGAUACCAACUGCAGCAAGUCAAUACAAUCCCAUUCACUUUUUCAGCUAUUCUGAGCUUUGAUUCUGGCAUAUAUAAUCUACAUUUUAUAAUACAGAUAUGUAUUUUCUUUUACCAUAAGAGUAAUUCUUAGCCAUGUUUCCACAAUUCUUUGAUCUUGACUUAAGAUGACAGGAUUGAAUCUAAGAUCCUGGUUAAGCAUAUUGUUAACAUUUUGCUCUCUUUUUAAUACAGAAAUUAUAUCAGUAUUAGAUUUUAAACUCAAUGGAAACCUGUGUUUAGUAAUUAAAUCACUACAUGGGAAAUUUUGUUUGGUUUAUAAAUGUUCACAGUA
rnacentral:lncRNA from 1 species